rnacentral:rRNA from 1 species
CCGGCACGGGUGAGUAACACGUAUCCAACCUGCCGUCUACUCUUGGACAGCCUUCUGAAAGGAAGAUUAAUACAAGAUGGUAUCAUGAGUCCACAUGUUCACAUGAUUAAAGGUAUUCCGGUAGACGAUGGGGAUGCGUUCCAUUAGAUAGUAGGCGGGGUAACGGCCCACCUAGUCUUCGAUGGAUAGGGGUUCUGAGAGGAAGGUCCCCCACAUUGGAACUGAGACACGGUCCAA